GAUGAACGCUGGCGGCGUGCCUAAUACAUGCAAGUCGAGCGAACGGACGAGAAGCUUGCUUCUCUGAUGUUAGCGGCGGACGGGUGAGUAACACGUGGAUAACCUACCUAUAAGACUGGGAUAACUUCGGGAAACCGGAGCUAAUACCGGAUAAUAUUUUGAACCGCAUGGUUCAAAAGUGAAAGAAGGUCUUGCUGUCACUUAUAGAUGGAUCCGCGCUGCAUUAGCUAGUUGGUAAGGUAACGGCUUACCAAGGCAACGAUGCAUAGCCGACCUGAGAGGGUGAUCGGCCACACGGGAACUGAGACACGGUCCAGACUCCUACGGGAGGCAGCAGUAGGGAAUCUUCCGCAAUGGGCGAAAGCCUGACGGAGCAACGCCGCGUGAGUGAUGAAGGUCUUCGGAUCGUAAAACUCUGUUAUUAGGGAAGAACAUAUGUGUAAGUAACUGUGCACAUCUUGACGGUACCUAAUCAGAAAGCCACGGCUAACUACGUG
rnacentral:rRNA from 1 species